rnacentral:lncRNA from 1 species
GAAGAGAAUUUCUUCCAUUAUGUUUAAUUUGAGGUUUAUAAUUUUUUUUCUACACAGUAGUACACAUAAAAUGACUCCAUGCAAAAGGAUUUCAGUUUUUGAUAAUUUUUUCAUUUUCUAAUAUUUUUUACAAACCAUGGUCAAACUUGCAUGCAUGACUAUUUCAUGUUAGGGUUUGGUUCUUUCAACUUUAUUUUCUCAGGGUAGGUACAAUCAUACUAGCACUGCAUAAAAUGAUUUUUUUCCAUAUUGUUUGAACAAUGUAUAACACACUUGUAGUUGAAAUUUUAAUUACAUAAGGUAAA